rnacentral:tRNA from 1 species
GGGCGCUUGGUCUAGGGGUAUGAUUUUCGCUUCGCAUCAUCCAUUGAAGCACAUGUGAAAGGUCGUGGGUUCAAUUCCCACAGCGUCCA